GUGUGAAAAAAAAAAAAAAAAAGCAGCACAGUUCACAUGCAAAACUUCAGAGAGCCAACCAUAGAAGGUUUAAAUGUUAUCUUCCACGGAUGCUAUGGAGAGGUGUGCACACCCAGGCCGGAAAUUCAGAAACGUUGCUCAUAAGUGCUCGUAAAAUAAUAUUUUUUGUUCAAUUCCUCCCCAGGUGUUCAACUGAAGAAGGUAGGACCACAGAAGUUGUCUUUUUAUCCAUGCAGAAUUCAAUAUUCAUUUAUUUUUUAUUGUCUAAAUAUAAAUAUUGUGUUUAGGAAGCUGAUAACUUUAGUCAAAAAAUACUUUUACUAGGGUAACAUGCUCCUGUCAGAGCUUCUCUGAAAAGAUGACAGCCCUGAUUUGCCUCUGGUUUUCAAAACUUGAAAUGAGCAACUCUCCGUUUCAGUUUGGAGAUAUAAUUUCCUUUAAACCGAAGUGUAGAGCAGGAAUUCGCUUUAUGCACUUUGCUGUUUAUGUGGGAGAUGCAGACAUUUGUGGCAAAAAGCAAAAGGAGGUCAUUUAUGAACAAUCAAAGCAGAUUCUCCGCUGCAGAUUUUCUGAACUCAACCUGAAUUUGGAGCCUGAGGUGAACAACUACCUAGACGAUUAUACAGAUCCUUCAACCGGAAGAACUUACUGUAAAGGAGAUGACAAGGACAUCAUUGAACGCAUCACUGAGACGUAUGAGAAUUGGGGGGUGUACGGCAUACUGCACUACAACUGUGAACACCUGGCUACAUAUGUGCGCUAUGGAGUCAAGAUAGCAGUGCAGGUGAGUGGACAAAGAGUGAUUAAUAGUAUUUAUCUUUUUAAAAAACAUUUUGUAUGUCCUGUUUUUACUAAAAUAAUGCAACUUUUAAAGAUAAAUAUACAUUGCAUAUGUUAAUGUUUCAUUUUACUUUAGGAGUCCCUUUAAAAAUAUAUUUCAGAUUAAAAUUAUUUACCAUACAUUUUAACACUCCAAGGAAUACCAUAUUUUAAAAAAAAUCUGCUCACUUCCUCGGUUGCAUGUAUUCCAUUUUUAUUAGUGUUUUCCAACU